GACGGAGGAUGCAAGUGUUAUCCGGAAUCACUGGGCGUAAAGCGUCUGUAGGUGGUUUAAUAAGUCAACUGUUAAAUCUUGAGGCUCAACCUCAAAAUCGCAGUCGAAACUAUUAGGCUAGAGUAUAGUAGGGGUAAAGGGAAUUUCCAGUGGAGCGGUGAAAUGCGUAGAGAUUGGAAAGAACACCCAUGGCGAAGGCAGCAAACUGGUCAUCAACUGACGCUGAGGCGCGAAAGCGUGGGUAGCAAACAGG
rnacentral:rRNA from 1 species